rnacentral:ncRNA from 1 species
AUCGGGGGUGCUGUUCCAAAACGGCUGAGACGGCGGAUUUGCCGAACCCUUUCCACCUGAUACGGAUAAUGCCGGCGUAGGGAGAUGUU